rnacentral:rRNA from 2 species
GAGACCCCAGGUCAGACGGGACUACCCGCUGAAUUUAA